rnacentral:lncRNA from 10 species
CAAGACACAAACAAACACCAUUAGGAUUAAAAACAAGUUCAGUGAUGAUGAAGAAAUGGAGGAUUUGAAGUUGAAGUCAGCCUGUGGAUUUCCAGAGAUCAAAAUCUUGGAAGUGAAACCACAUCAAACACUGUUGAUACAGUCUUCAAAGCUGCAAGCAGCAUGUUCUCUGGAGUUUGUGUCACCUUUGUGUUCUCUAGGCUUUUUUUUAGCUAACUGUGUCAGCUUCUUUAAUUGUGCCCAUGUCGGCGGCUCCGCCUUCUUGGUGGAUGGCAACUUCAUCUGUUCUUCUGACAUCACCAUUCUGUUCAUCUUGUGAGCCGAUGGUGCUCGACUGCGGUGUCUCUGUCUCCGUGGAGGUGCUUUUCUUUGCAUCUCCGACGGGUUCAUUGUAGAACUUCAAAUGUCACAAGGCUGACUGUAGACGUACUCGGGAAUCUCGUCGACUUGUCCUCAAUGAUCAUGCUCGAGCAUACCUUCAACCUAGAGAAAAGCACCCACGUUGGGCACCAGAUGAAGGGGUGGCCUGCCCCUCCACACCUGUGGGUGUUUCCAGUCGGGUGGGACGAGAGACUGAGAAAAGAAAGAGACACAAAGUAUAGAGAAAGAAAAGUGGGCCCAGGGGACCGGCGCUCAGCAUACGGAGGACCCGUGCCACCAAGAAUUCAGAUUAUUUGCCAACAUUGUGAAAUGAAUUCAUGCAGUUGUGAGAAUAUGCAAAAUGUAGAAUUUAUUACUCAUCAAUGCAAGCAAUUUUUUCCAGGUUGGCACUGGGCCUUUCAAAUGUAAAACUGAUAAUUUUUAAUAUGGUCACACGAAGCUUGUUAUUUCAGUGAUAAGCUGUGGAGAGUUGAUAGUUGACUCUAGCUAAAAUCUUGCCAGACACUAUGUUGUUUGACAUUAGCUAAAUGAUUAUACCAAUGAUGUGUUCAGGGCUUGAGGCAAAACAAAAUGUCAUCUUAUUAUUUUCCUUGAAUUUCUAGAGCUUAGUUUUUAAAGUUUAGAUUUUGAACAAGUUGUCAUUUAAAAAUGUUUUCCCUGUUUUUACAGUAGUCUUCAGUAUGUGGACAAGUAAAUGAACCAAGGAAACAAAAGUGGUCAAACGUGUCUCAAUAUUUCUUGAGCUCUAAUAUCCAAUUUAAAGCAAUAGUUUUAAUCUGAACACCUGAAAAUAAAAAUGAGACAUAAUGAUAUAUCUGUAUCUUUUCUGAGGUCAUCCACUGAAUAUUUCAGCUCCUAUAAAGUUCUAUAGGGUUUUAAAUGAUUUGUUAGUAGUUACUGUGGCUUCAACAUAAAAGCAACAUAUUUAGGGGAAUCACUUUAAACAGUGAAGUCAAAGGAAACAUGUAUUACAACAAAAACACUCU